GAGCCGUAUGAAGGGAAACUUUCACGUACGGUUCUGAAGACGAGUACGGACCGCGAGGCCCGUACUUAGUUCAAC
rnacentral:ncRNA from 1 species